rnacentral:tRNA from 1 species
GGAGCUGUGCCUGAAUAAAGGGACACUUUGAUAGAGUGGAACAUAGGGGCUAACGACCCCUCGGCUCCU